CCAACUAAGAACAAGACGAAUUCAGGACGUCAGAUGCUAUUUGGUAUACGAUUGGCUCCAAAACAAAUGAAGGAGGAUAAGGCGUUUCUUAUACUUCCACAAAAUAAUAGCAAUCGAACUCAUUUGGGAAGUACACCUCAAACAAUGAAAUGCCAUCAACUUUUGUGUCUUAGAAAAUCUUAAAAUACAAGGAGAAAAAUCCUCAUAUGAACGGAUAGUCAAGAAUUAAACCAUUAAAAUGUUAAAAAAUCACAACAAAAUUAGUCAGAAUGAAUACAUGCAAAAUCUCCAAAACCUGGUGAUAAGUUGGGUACCACGACAAAGGGGAAUUUUUGGUAACGGCCAGGAAACAAUAGCGAGAGGAGAAUCUGCAAAACCAUAUAUAGAACAUCCUAAAAAAAAUAACAAGGACAAACUGAGCAUUCUCCAUCACAGAUUCGAUCUAAAAAAACACAACAAAAGAAAUGGAUAAAUUCUUCAGGUGUAAGUUUAUGCUAACACAACCUUCAACCAGACUGGCAAAAUCACUGCUACAGUAGGGAAGAGCUAAACUCAGAAUAUUGGUUAUUUGAUAGAAGGAAGAAACAGCUAACCAACUUCGAAUGCUAAUCAACCGUCCAAUGGAGACCUAACCUGAUGUACAAAAAAAAAACCAAGGAAAAGAAUUGUAGCAACGACAGUUAAUGACCUAGUAUUCCUUGGGAGAACGAUCUAGACAAUUGCGCUGAACUAGGAAAGUACGAUAAGCCAGGCGGCUGCAAUGCCUCCUAUAUCAUCAUCGUCGUUUACCAAUGCAGUAGGAAUAAUCGAAAACAGUUUCUCCUUGCUUCUAUCGAUGACCAACCAGUGAUGAUGGCUAAAAGUCGGAACGCUUCCAAUAGCGAGGAUAGACUGCCAAAAAUAAUGUUCUUUUUCAGAAACUCCUUUUGAAUACAUUUUUAUACAGUCAUACAUUUUGAAAUGUAUUUGUCUCAAUUUUCUCAGUUAGUUGACUUUGACCAAUUAGUUUUUCUUUUACAACUGUACAGUUAUUCUGUUAGUUGUAU